AACGAACGCUGGCGGCGUGUUUAAGACAUGCAAGUCGCACGGUGUCAUUUCGGUAGCAAUACUUGGAUGGCACAGUGGCGCACAGGUGAGUAACACGUGAAUGACAUGCCCUUCAGAGGGGGAUAGCCCAGGGAAACUUGGAUUAAUACCCCAUGGUCUCGCAAGAGUAAAGGUGGCCGCAAGGCUGUCGCUGGAGGAUUGGUUCGCGUUCUAUCAGCUUGUUGGCGGGGUAACGGCCCACCAAGGCUACGACGGAUACCUGGUCUGAGAGGACGAUCAGGCACACUGGAACUGAGACACGGUCCAGACACCUACGGGUGGCAGCAGUCGAGAAUAAUUCACAAUGGGGGCAACCCUGAUGGUGCAACGCCGCGUGGAGGAUGAAGGUCUUCGGAUUGUAAACUCCUGUCAUCCGGGAGCAAGACCUGACGGUGAAUAGCCGGCAGGGUUGAUAGUACCGGAAGAGGAAGGGACGGCUAACUUCGUGCCAGCAGCCGCGGUAAGAC
rnacentral:rRNA from 1 species